ACCCGGCCUCUAGUAUUCCAACUUUACAUGUUGACAAGUGAGGCAAAGGGAUAUGAAGGCAAGAAUAUCCCUCUUCAUACCUGGUCACCAGAAACGAGUUUAUAGAUUAUGGUAUAUUUGGGUGCUCCCAGGAUGAACAAUAAAUCUCGAAGAGUGAGCUUCCCUAAGUAUUUCCUAUCUAAGUUCAUGAUCAUCUGGUACCCACAAUCGAUUCCUGAAUCAAUGAAGGUCGUCAUUAGAAACCCUAAAAUUAGAACAUCCGGAGAAAGAUAUUCUCUUUGCUUGAGGACAUGGAGAUCUUUGAAUUGAGCAUACCAGAUUCUCUGGAUGUUAAAGGGUUGCGCAUGAAGGUGACCAAUGUAGGCACCUUCUAU
rnacentral:lncRNA from 1 species